rnacentral:lncRNA from 1 species
GAGUAAAGGAUAAUAUCAUGGUUAUAACUGGAUACAACGAGCAGUUAAUGCACUUAACAGUACACCAUUUCUCGAAAUAUUGGUGUACUAAAAAAGUAAUUCUUUUUUAACAUUCCUGAACCUUUGUCCCGGUAUUGAAUAACACCACGCUCUCUGCCUAUAGGCACCUUUUAACUGAUGAAAUUAUCUCUUUGAAAUUUCCCUAGGAAUAAAUCCAAAGCUAUAUUUAUAGUUACCAUCCCUCAUGGAAAUUUUGUUUAGCAGAUUAUACGAGAAACGAUUGAACUGGCCUCCAGGAUACCAAUUUACUAUUUUAGAAACUACUUUGUUUGGUGUUUUGUAAGGAGUAUUUACAACAGAAACAGAUAUUUAGAGAUAGUGAAGCUAAAAAGUGCCUGAUCGUCAAUAACUAUUGAGAAAGAAGUACACUUAAAAGUGGUAACCUGCUGGUUAUGUAUAAUCAUUAUGUAUAUGUUAUUCGCGUGAAUAUCAUUGGAUGUGUAAAACUCGCGGCACUCGAUCGCACGAAGUAUAUGGAAAAAGGAAAUAAAAAAGAUAACAGAGAUUCAUAAGUGGAAACCGAGAAUAGCUCAUACAUGCAACGUAAGAUAUAAUAUCCUUGAAGAUAUACACCCUCGUACGAUAUGUUUUUCAUUUAUCAUUUCUAAACGAAAACUGUUGUAAGAAAUGCCUAGCAAUGUAUGUAUUUCCCUUGUCCCAUUGUUUGUUGAUAUUAACUUAACAGGUGAAAAUCCUACGACAAAUGAAUCCUAUUACAGUGUCAAAUUAAUUAAUUAGCCCAGUGAGAGACGAGUUUCAUAGAUUUCAUUUAUCUCUGCACUUUGAACUUCUCGAGGCCUACCCAGUGAGUUACAAAGACACAUAUAUAACAAUGAUCUUUAUUACAUGAAGUAAUAGUAUCUUCUGAUAGAGUAUCUUCUGAAUAGCAUCACGAAAUGGUAAAAGUCUAGGAUAAUGAGUGAAUAGAAUAAAUCCGAGAUUAGAGUUUAGAAAGUUCCGUAGAGACUCAAUCUCAAACAUAGUAGAGUACUACGCAUCUAGUUGUAUGCAUCCCAGUAGAGUACCGCGUGUUUAGUUGCAUAUAGAACACCGUGACGUUCAGUAACAAAGUAGUCUACAGUAGAAUAAUCAAUGACUGGCACAGUACCAGCUAGUAGUAAGAAGGAGUAGUCAGAUGGACUGCAGUGAAAUAUUAAACUUAACUUCGUUUUGCAAUGCAUCAAAUUUGUCACUUUUUUAAUAAUGUAUGAUACUUUUUGGUGAGUAGAAUUUAAAAAUAUUAGUUACAUUAUUACGAGUUAUUCAUAUAGAGCUCCGUUUUCGAAAAAACUGAGAUUGUAUAUCUGUUACGUUUGCUUGCAUUCCACUAACAGUACUCUAGAAUUACUUUACCCAGUCUAGCUAGCUACUGUUACCUCCACUUGUGUCUACAAACAAUAUCAAUCAGGAUUUUGUUUGUAUAUCUCUCAAAACAAUGAUUUCGCGCCUUAGAACUGAGGUUUUUUAAUUCUACUCGCCAAAAGCUUAUCAUAUGUUGUGAAAAAAGAUCACAAAUUCGAUAUGUCCCAAAACGUUCAACCAAAUAUUCUAUAUUAGAGUUCAUGUACAUUAGUGUCUUAAGGCCAUCGAAGAGUAACCUCAAUUACAGUGCUGUCCAUCAGUAGCAGGACUUCUAAAUAUACCUUCAAAUGAUUUAUAUUUAUAUAACAUCCUUUGUUUGAUUAUAUCCAUAGAGAGUACUGAGAAGGUUUGGCUGUUAAACCUGGGGAUGCCUCAGAUAUGUUUAUGUAUAACAAAUUCCUGUAUCAUUAUAAUAUAUAACUUUUAUAAGAUAUAAUUUUUCAAAAGAACUAUAACAGUCAACUUGCGAAUAAUGUUUUGACACCGUUACUUUAAUUUAGUGCUCACACUCUGAAACAAAGGUAUUUCUCUCCUUCCUGGGGAAUUUUACACCGCAAGUGGCUCAGUUACGUGUUACGCCAUACAGGUGGGGGUGACUACUCGAAAAUGACCUUGAAGAACCAACAUUUGAGAACUCUAGGAUAGAAUUAAUUAGACGUAUCUUGGUGAUACGUUUAAUAAGUGAUCUGCUGUGCAGGAUUCCAUCGACUGAUCUUUUCUUCUUUUUAUUAUAUUACAAUGUGCAAAAGCAUUAGUACGGUCUUUGAAAAUAAAAUCAGGCUCUGGAAUCCCCGUAAAAUAAAUCGAUUUGCGAGCGAGAGUGGUGACUUACGAAACAUACGAACAGAAAUGUUAGGUGAGCGUGAGGAAAAACAGAAUAAAGUGAAAGCUGAUGUGCCUUGGUUCACAGCCGGAAACAGUGCUCUUGAAUACCUUUCCGGAAAUGCAUUUGUUUCGAAGCUUCACAUGGCAUUGGCGAUACAACCAUUAUUUUUUCAAUGCAAAUACAGAGAUUGGGAAAAAAUAUAUGUUCUUAUUAUGUCAGACGGAGAAAGCAGAAAUUUAUUUUCAUUAGAUGAGCCUGCUUUGACAAGCUCGCAACUUAUUUCUUUUUUCUAUCGUUGAGAAAAAUCUUUGAGGAGAAGAUGGACAUUAGAAGCAGCUGAGUACUUUGCACUUUUCAUUUCCUCGACCGUGAAGGAACAUCUUGUGUUCGUGCAGCAGAAUACGGUUUAACGCAAGCAAUGCAUAGAAACCACAGAAAUGCUUUUUUUAGUGUGAGCAUACAGUGGACAAUCUUAAGUAAUUUUCUCAUCUUAUACUUAAUAAAACGCAACCUUUUCAGGCACUCAUCUUCAUUUCAAAUUCUCUUAAUUUCUCUACAUUCAUCCUUGAUCUCUCAUAUAACGAGAUAGUUAAGGAAACGCAGUGCCUAAGAAGUUAAUCAGAAUGCAGACUUUUAUAUUUCUUUGGUCUGAAAGAUUCAGAUCAAAAACAAGGCUCAAUAUAGACAAAGUGGACUCACGUUGAGUUGUAGAGUUUUACAAAGUGCAAGCAGAUACAGUUCAACGAUACUUUCAUUGAAGUCUCUUUCACAGUGUUCUUUCUGAUUCUGAUAAGACUCCUAAUACUUUCUGUUACGCUGUGAAUCAUAUGAAAAGACAUAUAGAAGUUUGGCUGUAGUGAGUAAAAAAAUAGAAAUAUUAUGGCAUCGCUUGAAGAGUAAGUAGUUAUAGAUAUAUAUAUAAUAAUUGAAUAGAAAAUAAUCCACAUGGGAGAAAGAUUUUCAUAGAAAAAUGCACAUGGACCAGUAUCGGUUGCCUUUAAGAAUCAGUAUUUACUUUUAUUCAUCAAGUUAUUGUGCAGAUUUGUUUUUUCCAUUUAUAAGCACGCGAAUCGAGAAACGGACUUCUAUGACGCGCGCUCUUAUUUUCUCCGUUCAGUAGAGGGAUUAAUGAACCAUAAAAUCGAAUAAUUAAUCCUCUGCAAUAGUUUAGUUAAAUUAAUUUCACAAUAUUUACAAUUACGCUAACUAUUUGAACUUGUUGUUUUCUUAAUAAUAACUAUUAUUUCAUUAUAUUUUACUUAAUAGUCUAUCAUUGUCAUAAUCCUUUCUUUUUCUUUUUUGAAUUUUUCUUGGAAUGAAACUCCCAAGUAUCGCUCAUAUACAAGAACUUAAAGAAAUCUUACAGCUUCAUUUGUCUCUCCACUUAUUUUCUAUAUUGAAUACUGGAUCACAAAGAAAAUUCUCUUCAAGGUAAGAAAUAAUUUAAAGAGAACUUAUAUAACACUGAGUAUUUACGCGCUAUCAAAUAGAAUGAAACUUUAUGACGCAGUAUGUAUGUACAUUGUACUCCAACAUUUUUUAUGUUAUAUUUAAUCAGAUGUAGAACAAAUUUGUCGCAUUAAAAAUACUCACACAUUUUGUAUAAAGAAUGUGAAUGCAGAGGUUUAAUAUCACAGUGAAAACGACCGUAAUACACAUAAUUUUUUGCUACA